rnacentral:rRNA from 1 species
GGCCCACCAAGCCGACGAUGUCUAGGGGUUCUGAGAGGAAGGUCCCCCACACUGGAACUGAGACACGGUCCAGACUCCUACGGGAGGCAGCAGUGAGGAAUAUUGGUCAAUGGGCGAGAGCCUGAACCAGCCAAGUCGCGUGAGGGAAGAAUGGUCUAUGGCCUGUAAACCUCUUUUGCCAGGGAAGAAUAAAAGGUACGUGUACCUUCUUGCCAGUACCUGACGAAUAAGCAUCGGCUAACUCCGUGCCAGCAGCCGCGGUAAUACGGGGGAUGCGAGCGUUAUCCGGAUUUAUUGGGUUUAAAGGGCGCGUAGGCGGGACGCCAAGUCAGCGGUAAAAGACUGCAGCUAAACUGUAGCACGCCGUUGAAACUGGCGACCUUGAGACGAGACGAGGGAGGCGGAACAAGUGAAGUAGCGGUGAAAUGCUUAGAUAUCACUUGGAACCCCGAUAGCGAAGGCAGCUUCCCAGGCUCGAUCUGACGCUGAUGCGCGAGAGCGUGGGUAGCGAACAGGAUUAGAUACCCUGGUAGUCCACGCCGUAAACGAUGCUCACUGGAUCUUGGCGAUACACUGCCAGGGUUCAAGCGAAAGUAUUAAGUGAGCCACCUGGGGAGUACGUCGGCAACGAUGAAACUCAAAGGAAUUGACGGGGGCCCGCACAAGCGGAGGAACAUGUGGUUUAGGAACAUGUGGUUUAAUUCGAUGAUACGCGAGGAACCUUACCCGGGUUUAAAUGUAUUUUGCAUGAGGUGGAAACACUUCUUCCCUUCGGGGCUAGAUACAAGGUGCUGCAUGGUUGUCGUCAGCUCGUGCCGUGAGGUGUCGGGUUAAGUCCCAUAACGAGCGCAACCCCUAUCGCCAGUUGCCAGCGGCUGAGGCCGGGCACUCUGUCGAGACUGCCACCGUAAGGUGCGAGGAAGGCGGGGAUGACGUCAAAUCAGCACGGCCCUUACACCCGGGGCGACACACGUGUUACAAUGGCCGGUACAGAGGGCAGCCACGGGGUGACCCGGAGCGAAUCUCUAAAGCCGGUCGUAGUUCGGACUGGAGUCUGCAACCCGACUCCACGAAGUUGGAUUCGCUAGUAAUCGCGCAUCAGCCAUGGCGCGGUGAAUACGUUCCCGGGCCUUGUACACACCGCCCGUCAAGCCAUGGAAGCCGGGAGUACCUGA